rnacentral:RNase_P_RNA from 1 species
AAGGCGGGGCGCUCUAUCGCUGCCGGACCGUCAAAGGUCCGGGGGAGGAAAGUCCGGGCAGGACAGAGCACCGCACUGUGGAAAGCACAGGUAGGCGAAAGCUUACGUCACGGGUAACAGAAAACAACCGCCCCUCCCUCGGGAGAGGUAAGGGUGAAAAUGCAGGGUAAGAGCCUGCGUCCGUUCGAUGGCGACAUCAUCGGAGUAUCCGCCUGCGGCCUGCAAGGCCAAAUAUACCGGCAGUCAAGGGCUGCUCG